GACGAACGCUGGCGGCGUGCUUAACACAUGCAAGUCGAACGGUGAAGCGAGUGCUUGCACUCGUGCAUCAGUGGCGAACGGGUGAGUAACACGUGAGUAACCUGCCCUUUACUCUGGGAUAACCACUGGAAACUGUGUCUAAUACUGGAUACGACCUACCCCUGCAUGGUGUGUUGUUGGAAAGUUCUGCCGGUGAUGGAUGGACUCGCGGUCUAUCAGCUUGUUGGCGGGGUAAUGGCUCACCAAGGCGCCGACGGUUAGCCGGCCUGAGAGGGUGACCGGCCACACUGGGACUGAGACACGGCCCAGACUCCUACGGGAGGCAGCAGUGGGGAAUAUUGCACAAUGGGCGGAAGCCUGAUGCAGCAACGCCGCGUGCGGGAUGACGGCCUUCGGGUUGUAAACCUCUUUCAGCAGGGAAGAAGCGAAAGUGACGGUACCUGGAAAAGAAGCACCGGCUAACUACGUG
rnacentral:rRNA from 1 species